GGUGAUCGGGGACUUGAUGCAGAGAAUCCAGAGGGUACCCCAGUUCCCAGGCAAGCUGCUCCUGGUGCGCAAGCAGUUGACGGGCCAGGCUCCUGGGGAGCAGCUGGACCACCAGACCCUCCUCCAGGGCGUGGUGGUGCUGGAGGAGUUCUGCAAGGAGCUGGCUGCCAUUGCCUUCGUCAAGUUUCCCCCACAUGAUCCUCGCCAGAACGUCUCCCCAGCCCCGGAAGGGCAGGUCUGAGCCAGGACCAGGGCGGUGGGAGACUCCUGUCCACACCUCUGCCCCAGAGCUGCCUCCUGCCUGGCACUGCCGCCACACUCCCCUCCUGGGAUGGGGCUUCUGCUCCCGGGCUCACUCAAGGAGACUGCGGCAUGUUGACCACACCAGACUGGGUUUCAGGGAAUGGGCAUGCCAGGUGCCAAGGAGCCAAACAGAUGGCUUUCCAGGCAGCAAGGUCCUUGGGGCCUUCUUGGAGGAGCUUGGGUGACAGCCAGGUGAGCACCCAGACCCCAGACCCUCAUGUGCUGUGUGCCUGGCCCCUUCUGUACUGGCCAUUUGUGGCCAGGGCCAAGCCUGUGACUCAACUCCAGGGUCAAGAUGGGGAGUGAGCUGAUGGCUCCGAGACU
rnacentral:sRNA from 1 species